rnacentral:lncRNA from 1 species
GCUACAAUAGCAAUUGUCAUUCCUUGAAUCCUCACGAAAACUACUGUAUGUUGAGCAUAUAUUUUUGAAUUAGCCUUGAUAAUAAAAAAUUAACUUCAUAUAUCAUUUUUCUCACACCAGGGGAAAAGUUAGCUACAUAUCUGCCCUACUCAAAUGUCUUGAAAAGGUAGUACUAUAAUAUUAGAUAAUUUUAUUUGAAAUAUUGUUUUAAUAAAAAUAACAUUCCUCUCCAUAAUGAAGCUAAAUGUCACCUAGAAGAAAACUUUAUUCCCUUACACUCACAAAAAGGAAUUAGAAUUAAACUUUUAAGUUGAAUAAAUUUUAAAAUUACUUCCUAUUUAAAGUAAUUUUUUCAUAAAGUCAUUUCUCUUUAUCAUUUCAGAAAAUCCACAACUUCCCACGUUAGGUGUGAUUAAAGGGGUUGACACCAAUGGACAAAGGACAAAGUCCAUCUCUACUUUAACCAUCUGAUGCUCCCAAGUGCCCGAAAUGGAAAACUGCAAUAGAUUAAUAAAGUGAAGAACCAUGAGAACCA